CUUCGGGAGCUGACGAGUGGCGGACGGGUGAGUAAUGCAUAGGAAUCUGCCUGUUAGUGGGGGACAACGUGGGGAAACUCACGCUAAUACCGCAUACGCCCUACGGGGGAAAGCUGGGGAUCUUCGGACCUGGCGCUAAUAGAUGAGCCUAUGUUGGAUUAGCUAGUUGGUAGGGUAAUGGCCUACCAAGGCGACGAUCCAUAGCUGGUCUGAGAGGAUGAUCAGCCACACUGGGACUGAGACACGGCCCAGACUCCUACGGGAGGCAGCAGUGGGGAAUAUUGGACAAUGGGCGAAAGCCUGAUCCAGCAAUACCGCGUGUGUGAAGAANGCCUGAGGGUUGUAAAGCACUUUCAAUAGGAAGGAAUACCUGCCGGUUAAUACCCGGUAGACUGACAUUACCUAUACAAGAAGCACCGGCUAACUCCGUGCCAGCAGCCGCGGUAAUACGGAAGGUUCAAGCGUUAAUCGGAAUUACUGGGCGUAAAGCGUGCGUAGGCGGUUGUUUAAGUCAGAUGUGAAAGCCCUGGGCUUAACCUGGGAACUGCAUUUGAUACUGGGCAACUAGAGUUUAGUAGAGGGGAGUGGAAUUUCAGGUGUAGCGGUGAAAUGCGUAGAGAUCUGAAGGAACACCAGUGGCGAAGGCGGCUCCCUGGACUAAAACUGACGCUGAGGUACGAAAGCGUGGGUAGCAAACAGGAUUAGAUACCCUGGUAGUCCACGCCGUAAACGAUGUCAACUAACUGUUGGGUUCUUAAAGAACUUAGUAGUGGAGCUAACGUAUUAAGUUGACCGCCUGGGGAGUACGGCCGCAAGGCUAAAACUCAAAUGAAUUGACGGGGGCCCGCACAAGCGGUGGAGCAUGUGGUUUAAUUCGAUGCAACGCGAAGAACUUACCUACCCUUGACAUCCAUACAAUC
rnacentral:rRNA from 1 species